rnacentral:rRNA from 1 species
CUGACCUGCCCAAUGAUUUACUGAACGGCCGCGGUAUNUACACUGUGCUAAGGUAGCAUAAUCAUUUGUCUUUUAAUUGAAGGCUGGUAUGAAUGGUUGGACGAGGCAUAAUCUUUCUUUAAUUCAAUUUAUGAACUUCAUUUUUUAGUUAAAAAGCUAAAAUUUGUUUUUUGGACGAGAAGACCCUAUAGAUCUUAACAUUUAGGUGGUUCAGUAAUUUGGUUAAUUUAUUAUUUGGACUAAAAUGGGUAUUUGGUUGGGGUGACUGUGGAAUUUCAAUAACUUCUGUNUNAUGUUUCAUUUAUUUAUGAUUUAUUGAUCCAUUAUUAAUGAUUAUAAGAUUAAGUUACCCUAGGGAUAACAGCGUAAUUCUCUUGGAGAGCUCAUAUCGAUGAAGGAGCUUGCGACCUCGAUGUUGGAUUCAAAUCCGUAGUGGAUGCGGUAGGUUACGAACUAGGUCUGUU